rnacentral:rRNA from 1 species
GACGAACGCUGGCGGCGUGCCUAAUACAUGCAAGUGGGACGCAAGGAAACACACUGUGCUUGCACACCGUGUUUUCUUGAGUCGCGAACGGGUGAGUAACGCGUAGGUAACCUGCCUAUUAGCGGGGGAUAACUAUUGGAAACGAUAGCUAAUACCGCAUAAUAUUAAUUAUUGCAUGAUAAUUGAUUGAAAGAUGCAAGCGCAUCACUAGUAGAUGGACCUGCGUUGUAUUAGCUAGUUGGUAAGGUAAGAGCUUACCAAGGCGACGAUACAUAGCCGACCGGAGAGGGUGAGCGGCCACCCUGGGACUGAGACACGGCCCAGACUCCUACGGGAGGCAGCAGUAGGGAAUCUUCGGCAAUGGACGAAAGUCUGACCGAGCAACGCCGCGUGAGUGAAGAAGGUUGUCGGAUCGUAAAGCUCGGUUGUAAGUCAAGAACGUGUGUGAGAGUGGAAAGUUCACAAAGUGACGGUAGCUGACCAGAAAGGGACGGCUAACUACGUG